AAAGACAAAGUAGACCAGUUAUCACAAAUACCGUUAAUUAUAUGAUAUCGCGUGACAGCUGAUUUCUAGUGUCUUUGCUUUACUCAUCCCCUUGCCAACCCAGCACGGCAAAUCGAUUGCCACCGUAUCAUCCGUGUACAUUUUAUUGUAAGUCGGUGAGUCAAUUGCUUUUUGCGUUUUUUUUUUUUUGUAACAAGAGCUUUAAUUUUUUUAUUGAUUAAAUGAUAAAUUGUUUAACCAUUGUACGUCAUAUUUUAGCUUCGAUGCGAAGCUGAGAAGGUAUUAGUUUUACUAUGCAUUUUUUUUUUUUUUUGCCUAUUACCACUUUUUCUCAGCUCUCACCCAAUCGAUUUCUUUCAACGAUAACGAACAAAAGUCGUAUCUAGUCGAAGACAUUACCCUCAACAAUUGAAAAAAUUUUCCUCGUUCCCGGUAAAUGGGGGAAAACCUCCAAAAAAAAUUACAAAUUUAAAAAUCGAUAAUUUUUGAAAUUUUUUUUUCUUAAAACUGCCAUAACUUUUUCAAAAAUGAACAAAUCAACAUAACUUCUUUUUUUAGAUGCAUGAUGUCUUUACCUAUUAUUUGAUAUAUUUCUUUUUUAAUCUGACCUUUUACCUGCCCACAGGUUAUAUUUAUAUCUCUUUUUCAUUCGAUAUACUUUAUCUUAAUCAUGAUAUUAAUAAGGAAAUAGCAGAUCAUGUAGCUUUUGGAAUAAUCCACCAAUUUUUUAAAAUUAAACACAAUCUAAAGAUUUGCAUCGAAGCGUUAUUUUUGAUAGUGAUUUUAAUCACUGUCAGUUAUCAUUAUACUUGACCUAACUAUGCCACGUCAUCACAGUGCCACGACCCCCCUGUGCUGAGUUUUUAUUUUUUUAUAUUACUAUGGAAAAAAAUUUCCAAAAUUAUCGAUUUCUAAAAUUGUAAUUUUUUGGGAAAUUGUCCCCAUUUACGAGGAAUGAGGGAAUUUUUUCAAUUUUUGAAGUUAAUGUCUUCGAUUAGAUACAAUUUAACGUAUUGAUCAUCAAAAUAGGUUCAGUGAAAGCUGAUAUUGAGUGGUAAUAGACACAUAAAAAAAACACAUCAUAGUAAUAUUAAUACCUAUUCACCUUUACAUCGAAGCUUAAACUCAUCAGAUUAAGAAUAUGACUGAUUCAUAGUAACGUUUGGACCAAUAUUUCAAAAGUUAUUGACAUUUUUGUAACUAAGCGGAAAAAGAAGCGAAAAUGAAUAAUGUUCAAUAAUAAAAAUAUCAAAUCUCGCGCACCAUCUCCUCUCAUGAUUUUAUGUUAUUAAUUGAAGCUAUACCGAUAUAAAAAUUAUUUCUAGCAUUGGUGUAUGUCGGAAACGGAACAGAACGCAUUCUCCGUAAUCCAUAUUCGGUGGUGGCCUUGUCACGGUGUCAAGGGCGGGGAGACACCCGAUGACAACUGAUUGUCAUUUAAAUAGCUGGACGGCUGAUAUCGAGAGAGACACGGUUGUGCGUCAGCCUAGAGCGUAAGGCGGUGCCGUGCCAAUACAAUCCUAAUAUUCUAACAAUGAAAUGACUCUGAAAGAAGUUUUACUUCAUCAGCGUGGACUCUUAAUACGUACUAGUAUUUGUUUUAGACUUCAGACGCAUUACCUGAGCUACACAAAGAUAUGAUCAACGUGUAUAAAAAUCAAAUAUUGGUUCAAUAUCAAGUUUAAGCAACAUGAUUCUAAAAUUUGUUAUAUAAGGAAGUUAAAUUCUCAUGCAACGAUAUUCAAGAAAAUAAAUGAAAAAUUGGUGAUAGUACAAUUUGCAGUUAUUGAGAACUUAUAGAUUACAUGACUCGUGUUGAAAUAGCACCAACUACACCAAAAACAUAGCGCUCAAAACAAUUUGUUUCCAAACAAUGUUUCCAAUGAGAAAUGGGAGGUUUUUAUUAUCAAGCAAGAAAAACUACGAGAGACAAAAACUGAUUAUAAAAAAUCAAUUACAGCAGCACGAAUGAUGAUUCAAUGUUAUACCCGUUAUUUACAAUUACGGGUAAAAUUGUUGAGACAACAAAUGGAAACAAAGAGAUUGACCAAAAAGUUCAAUAUUAUGAUAACAAUAUUAUUAUAAAAUCAAUGUAUAAUCUAUCGCUUGUUGAGUUACAAAUCGAGUUUGAUAGAAAAUAUGUAGGAACAAUAUUAUUGUGUAUAAUUUGAGUAUUUGUUUUGACGGCAAGUAAAGGAGGAGCUGCUUUCUUUUGAAAUGGACAUAAAAUUUUUAUUUUAUUUUAGCUUCUAUGCAUAGCUGAAAUGGUCAAUAUUAUUUAAAAUUUUACUAGAAAAUCAUUAACCGUAUCUAGUCAAAGGUUUUAGCAUCACAAUUCGAAAGAAUUCUCUCAAUCAUCGAACAUAUGGUAAAAACCCUCGACAAUUAAGUCAUAUAAAUAAGUUAGAUCGAAAUCAAGUUUAUUAUACUUUUUACAAUUAUGUAAUUCAAAACGAUUUUUUUUUUUAACAUAUUAUGAAUUUAUAGUAAAGCAACAUCAAAACAAGAACCAAUUGAACUGAAAAUAAUAACGUUAAGACGGCUUCUUAAUGUUUUUGAAAUGCAUAAUGUUGACAAAUAUUUUUUUUAACUAAUAUAUAUUUUAGAUGAAUUUUAGAAAUGAGAAAAUAAAUUUAAAAAAUAGAAUAUUUUAUUAGUAUAUUACCAUAAUAAAGAAUAAA